AGGACCUAAGAUGAACUCUUGAUGUCAAC
rnacentral:piRNA from 1 species